AGAGUUUGAUCAUGACUCAGAAUCAACGCUGGCGGCGUGCCUAACACAUGCAAGUCGAACGAGAAAGUGGAGCAAUCGAUGAGUAAAGUGGCGCACGGGUGAGUAACACGUGACUAACCUACCCUCGAGUGGGGAAUAACUCCGGGAAACCGAGACUAAUACCGCAUAACAUCUACGGAUCAAAUGCGUAAGCAGCUUGAGGAGGGGGUCGCGACUGAUUAGCUAGUUGGCGGGGUAAUGGCCCACCAAGGCAAUGAUCAGUAGCCGGCCUGAGAGGGCGCACGGCCACACUGGAACUGAAACACGGUCCAGACUCCUACGGGAGGCAGCAGUGGGGAAUUUUGCGCAAUGGGGGAAACCCUGACGCAGCAACGCCGCGUGGAGGAUGAAGCCCCUUGGGGUGUAAACUCCUUUCGAUCGGGACGAUUAUGACGGUACCGGAUGAAGAAGCACCGACUAACUCUGUGCCAGCAGCCGCGGUAAUACAGAGGGUGCAAGCGUUGUUCGGAAUUAUUGGGCGUAAAGGGUGCGUAGGCGGUGCGGUAAGUCUUUUGUGAAAUCUCCGGACUUAACUCGGAGUCUGCAAGGGAAACUGCCGUGCUGGAGUAUGGGAGAGGUGAGUGGAAUUCCCGGUGUAGCGGUGAAAUGCGUAGAUAACGGGAGGAACACCUGUGGCGAAAGCGACUCACUGGACCAUUACUGACGCUGAUGCACGAAAGCUAGGGGAGCAAACAGGAUUAGAUACCCUGGUAGUCCUAGCCCUAAACGAUGAUCGCUUGGUGUGACAGGUACCCAAUCGUGUCGUGCCGGAGCUAACGCGUUAAGCGAUCGGCCUGGGGAGUACGGUCGCAAGACUGAACUCAAAGGAAUUGACGGGGGCCCGCACAAGCGGUGGAGCAUGUGGUUCAUUUCGACGCAACGCGAAGAACCUUACCUGGACUCGAGCGUA
rnacentral:rRNA from 1 species